GGGCGUAUGGUCUAGUGGUAUGAUUUCUGUUUUGCAAUGCCUCAUUGUAUUACAGACGGUCCCGCGUUCGAUCCGCGGUACGUCCA
rnacentral:tRNA from 2 species